rnacentral:rRNA from 1 species
UCCUACGGGAGGCAGCAGUAGGGAAUUUUCCGCAAUGGGCGAAAGUCUGACGGAGCAAUACCGCGUGGAGGAAGAAGGCCUUUGGGUUGUAAACUUCUUUUCUCAAGGAAGAAAAAAUGACGGUACUUGAGGAAUAAGCACCGGCUAACUCCGUGCCAGCAGCCGCGGUAAUACGGGGGGUGCGAGUGUUAUUCGGAAUUAUUGGGCGUAAAGAGCUCGUAGGCGGUUUGUCACGUCUGCUGUGAAAAUCCAAGGCUCAACCUUGGACUUGCAGUGGGUACGGGCAGGCUAGAGUGCGGUAGGGGAGAUGGGAAUUCCUGGUGUAGCGGUGGAAUGCGCAGAUAUCAGGAGGAACACCAAUGGCGAAGGCACAUCUCUGGGCCGUAACUGACGCUGAGGAGCGAAAGCGUGGGGAGCGAACAGGAUUAGAUACCCUGGUAGUCCACGCCGUAAACGGUGGGUGCUAGCUGUGGGCCACAUUCCACGUGGUCCGUGACGAAGUUAACACAUUAAGCACCCCGCCUGGGGAGUACGGCCGCAAGGCUAAAACUCA